CGCGGGAUAGAGCAGUUGGCAGCUCGUCGGGCUCAUAACCCGGAGGUCACAGGUUCGAGUCCUGUUCCCGCUA
rnacentral:tRNA from 1 species